AUCAAAACAUGGUUAGGUCUAAAUAUUAAGGCCAACUCAACUGCAAAUUUGGUCUAAAGUCACGAGAUGUAAAUUAGACUGACCCUAACCCUAACCCAAGACCCAGUCCUUACCCUAACCCUAACCCACAAUCUUGUCAAAAAGCAUGUAGCCUAAGCCAAGACCUAGUCCUGACCCUAGCCCAAACCCACAAUUGUGUCAAAAAAUCAUGUGCCCUAACCCUAUUUACAUGUUGUGACCUUGAACCAAAUCUGCAGUUGGCCUUAACAUUUAGACCUAACAUGUUUUUGACAUCAUACAAUGAAAUGUUAACAUGUACACUCCAAUAUUCACACCUGUGACUUUUGACCAAACAUGCAGUUGGCCUUAAUAUUUAGACCGAACCUCAAAACAUGGCAUCUACCUUUGAGAUUGGCUUAGACUUAUGUGACACUCAAGGUUUACUUUUUUACUGACUGUUAACUGGUUUCUUUUUGGAGGGCCAGUGACAGGCUGUUCGCUAGAAAUAAAGAGGUUUAUUUCUAUUUCCAGUUGAAACCAUAUUUUUUUCUUAUUUUCUCACUGUUUUUUAUUGCAUAUUUAUCCCCAGCCUCCUAUCAUUUCAGGUGCCAGGGUAAUGUUUCAUAGAGUGGAAUGAUUGACCUCAACACAAGUAUUAAAAAAAAAAGAAGCAAACCAGGUCUACAUCUCAAAACCUGAUGUCUUCCUGGACUGGCUUUAGGAGAACGAUGAUGCAUAUCAAUUUCAUCCCUGAUCUCUAUGACACCUGUGGUGGAAGUGGAGGGCAAAUCGUAAUCAGUUUGGGUUCCAGCCCCGAGGACCUCUGUAAACUUUGCUUUUUGGUGAUGACUUAAUUUCCGAGCUUGAAAAGGACGCCCGUGUGUUUAUCAUGGCCUCUCAUAUUGGAAGAUAACAUUAAUGGCUUGUGUGUUGAUCGACGGUUGUGCAUAUCUCUUGGUCAGGAAAGUUGUAGGCACCAUCGCCAUUGUAAAUCAUUUGACAGGCCCGAGUGAACAGGGCGACCUAUGAUUGGUCAGCAAUGUAUCAGAUUCCAUACCGGGGGGUGGGGAUGAAAAAACUGUUGUGGUGUUACAUAAUCAGAUUAUUUCAACUUACUUAUCCUGUGGAAAUACAGCUAUAUAGGAGGUAUUUUGAAAUUCAUAGGCACUGCAUGUUUCAACAUCUUAGAUUUGACCACAAUUUGGCACUUGAAACUAUGUUAACAGAGAAAAACUGUGUGGUUUUCGAUGAAAGUGUUACAAGUCUAAUAUUGCAUCAUGAUUACUGUUUUAAAGUAUUUUCGUGUUUGAUUUAUAUUGAAUUCAUCUCAUCUUUUUGAAGAAUGCAUUUAUGUUCAAAAAUAAAAAUGUUCUGUGGAAUUCAAAAUUCAUGUGCUUUUAAAUUAUCAGAUUCCAAACUGGGGGGUGGGGAUGAAAAAGCUGUUGUAGUGUUACAUAAUCAGAUUAUUUCAACUUACUUAUCCUAUGGAAAUACAGCUAUAUAGGAGAUAUUUUAAAAUUGAUAGACACUGCAUGUUUCAACAUUUUAGAUUUGACCACAAUUUGGCACUUGAAACUACGUUAACAGAGAGAAACUGUGUGGUUUUCGAUGAAAGUGUUAAAAAGUCUAAUAUUGCAUCAUGAUUACUGUUUUAAAGUAUUUUCGUGUUUGAUUUAUAUUGAAUUUAUCUCAUCUUUUUACAGAAUGCAUUUAUGUUCAAAAAUAAAAAUGUUCUGUUUAAUUCAAAA